rnacentral:rRNA from 1 species
UACAGAGGGUGCGAGCGUUGUUCGGAAUUAUUGGGCGUAAAGGGUGCGUAGGCGGCGCGGUAAGUCGGGUGUGAAAUCUCGGAGCUUAACUCCGAAACUGCAUUCGAUACUGCCGUGCUUGAGGACUGGAGAGGAGACUGGAAUUUACGGUGUAGCGGUGAAAUGCGUAGAUAUCGUAAGGAAGACCAGUGGCGAAGGCGGGUCUCUGGACAGUUCCUGACGCUGAGGCACGAAGGUCAGGGGAGCAAACAGG